GAUGAACGCUAGCUACAGGCUUAACACAUGCAAGUCGAGGGGCAGCAUGAACUUAGCUUGCUAAGUUUGAUGGCGACCGGCGCACGGGUGAGUAACACGUAUCCAACCUUCCGUUUACUCAGGGAUAGCCUUUCGAAAGAAAGAUUAAUACCUGAUAGUAUGGUGAGAUUGCAUGAUAACACCAUUAAAGAUUUAUUGGUAAACGAUGGGGAUGCGUUCCAUUAGCUGGUUGGCGGGUAACGGCCCACCAAGGCGACGAUGGAUAGGGGUUCUGAGAGGAAGGUCCCCCACACUGGUACUGAGACACGGACCAGACUCCUACGGGAGGCAGCAGUGAGGAAUAUUGGGUCAAUGGGCGAGAGCCUGAACCAGCCAAGUCGCGUGGAGGAAGACUGCCCUAUGGGUUGUAAACUCCUUUACCUGGGAAUAACGGGCGCUACGUGUAGCGCUGUGCAUGUACCGGGAGAAUAAGCAUCGGCUAAUUCCGUGCCAGCA
rnacentral:rRNA from 1 species